AGCAAUGAUAGCCUAGGUGGUUAUAGUGCUUGCUGGUUGAUCUGACUGGUAUUAUGCAAUCUGUGACCAUCACGUCGUGUGUUCGAAUCUCACUUUUGCUA